rnacentral:rRNA from 1 species
GACGAACGCUGGCGGCGUGCUUAACACAUGCAAGUCGAACGGUGAAGCGGGUGCUUGCACUCGUGGAUCAGUGGCGAACGGGUGAGUAACACGUGAGUAACCUGCCCAUCACUCUGGGAUAAGCGCUGGAAACGGCGUCUAAUACUGGAUACGACCAACCCUUGCAUGGGGUGUUGGUGGAAAGAUUUAUCGGUGGUGGAUGGACUCGCGUCCUAUCAGCUUGUUGGUGGGGUAAUGGCCUACCAAGGCGACGACGGGUAGCCGGCCUGAGAGGGCGACCGGCCACACUGGGACUGAGACACGGCCCAGACUCCUACGGGAGGCAGCAGUGGGGAAUAUUGCACAAUGGGCGAAAGCCUGAUGCAGCGACGCCGCGUGAGGGAUGACGGCCUUCGGGUUGUAAACCUCUUUCAGCAGGGAAGAAGCUUUUGUGACGGUACCUGCAGAAGAAGCACCGGCUAACUACG